UAUAACUCCCAAACCCAUGUGAACAUACCUAACGUUGCCUCGGCAGGUCGCACCUACCUUGUAGCACCUUACCCUGUAAGGCCUACCCGGGAGGUGCGGGUAAGCCUGCCGGCGGCCCACCAAACUCUGUUUGAUAUUGAAUUCUGAACCUAUAACUAAAUAAGUUAAAACUUUCAACAACGGAUCUCUUGGUUCUGGCAUCGAUGAAGAACGCAGCGAAAUGCGAUAAGUAAUGUGAAUUGCAGAAUUCAGUGAAUCAUCGAAUCUUUGAACGCAUAUUGCGCCCAUUAGUAUUCUAGUGGGCAGGACCGUUCGAGCGUCAUUUCAACCCUUAAGCCUUCGUUGCUUAGUGUUGGGAGCCUACGGCAACGUAGCUCCUCAAAGUUAGUGGCGGAGUUGGUUCACACUCUAGACGUAGUAAUUUUUUAUCUCGCCUAUUAGUUGGACUAAUCCCCUGCCGUAAAACCCCUAAUUUAUCAAGGUUGACCUCGAAUCGGUUCAGACAAACUCGCUAAAUUGAAGCAUCUUAGUCAGCGAAGGAAAAGAAACCAACAGGGAUUGCCCUAGUAACGGCGAGUGAAGCGGCAACAG
rnacentral:rRNA from 1 species